ACUCAAAUGAAUAGACGGGCACCCGCACAAGCGGUGGAGCAUGCUGUUUAAUUCGAAAGUACGCGAAGAACCUUACCUAGAUUUGACAUCCCCGGCAAUGCUAUAGAAAUAUAGCGGAGGUUACCCGGGAGACAGGUGGUGCAUGGUUGUCGUCAGCUCGUGUCGUGAGAUGUUUGGUUAAGUCCAAUAACGAGCGCAACCCUUAUCAUUAGUUGCCGAUUUAUCGGAUCUCUAAUGAUACUGCCAGUGUAAGCUGGAGGAAGGUGGGGAUGAGGUCAAAUCAUCAUGCCCCUUACAUCUAGGGCUACAGGCGUGCUACAAUGGCCGAUACAACGAGUCGCUACACGGUAACGUGAUGCUAAUCUCUUAAAGUCGGUCCCAGUCCGGAUUGUGGUCUGCAACUCGACCACAUGAAGUUGGAAUCGCUAGUAAUCCCGAAUCAGAAUGUCGGGGUGAAUACGUUCCCGGGUGUUGUACACACCGCCCGU
rnacentral:rRNA from 1 species